GAUGAACGCUGGCGGCGUGCCUAAUACAUGCAAGUCGAGCGAACGGACGAGAAGCUUGCUUCUCUGAUGUUAUCGGCGGACGGGUGAGUAACACGUGGAUAACCUACCUAUAAGACUGGGAUAACUUCGGGAAAUCGGAGCUAAUACCGGAUAAUAUUUUGAACCGCAUGGUUCCAAAGUGAAAGACGGUCUUGCUGUCACUUAUAGAUGGAUCCGCCCUGCAUUAGCUAGUUGGUAAGGUAACGGCUUACCAAGGCAACGAUGCAUAGCCGACCUGAGAGGGUGAUCGGCCAGACUGGAACGGAGACACGGUCGAGACUCCUACGGGAGGCAGCAGUAGGGAAUCUUACGCGAUGGGGGAAAGCGUGACGGAGCAACGCCGCGUGAGGGAUGAAGGUCUUCGGAUCGUAAAACUCUGUAAUUAGGAAAGAACAUAUGUGUAAGUAACUGUGAACAUCUUGACGGUACCGAAUCAGAAAGCCACGGCUAACUACGUG
rnacentral:rRNA from 1 species